rnacentral:rRNA from 1 species
GACGAACGCUGGCGGCGUGCUUAACACAUGCAAGUCGAACGGAAAGGCCCUGCUUUUGUGGGGUGCUCGAGUGGCGAACGGGUGAGUAACACGUGAGUAACCUGCCCUUGACUUUGGGAUAACUUCAGGAAACUGGGGCUAAUACCGGAUAGGAGCUCCUGCUGCAUGGUGGGGGUGGGAAAGUUUCGGUGGUUGGGGAUGGACUCGCGGCUUAUCAGCUUGUUGGUGGGGUAGUGGCUUACCAAGGCUUUGACGGGUAGCCGGCCUGAGAGGGUGACCGGCCACAUUGGGACUGAGAUACGGCCCAGACUCCUACGGGAGGCAGCAGUGGGGAAUAUUGCACAAUGGGCGGAAGCCUGAUGCAGCAACGCCGCGUGCGGGAUGACGGCCUUCGGGUUGUAAACCGCUUUCGCCUGUGACGAAGCGUGAGUGACGGUAAUGGGUAAAGAAGCACCGGCUAACUACGUG